rnacentral:rRNA from 1 species
UACAGAGGGAGCAAGCGUUGUUCGGAAUUACUGGGCGUAAAGGGCGCGUAGGCGGUUCGAUAAGUCCCGUGUGAAAUCCCUCGGCUCAACUGAGGAAUUGCACGGGAAACUGACGGGCUUGAGUUCGGGAGAGGGAAGCGGAAUUCCGGGUGUAGCGGUGAAAUGCGUAGAUAUCCGGAGGAACACCGGUGGCGAAAGCGGCUUCCUGGACCGACACUGACGCUGAGGCGCGAAAGCUAGGGGAGCAAACGGG